CACGCCUCAGCAUCUGCUGCACAACACGCAUCCCGCUUCCUUCUGCGCUAUAGAGGAAAAACGCUUGAUUGGCUCUCCCUCUUGCAAUACGCAGCUCCAGCCAUCAGCGUCUCACUCUUCCCUUCUCUCUCGCUGGUGACCCAUCUCGUCUUCCUGUGGGCCCCUCUCCCCUCUCCCCUCUCCCUUCCCCACUUCCCGCCACCGUGCCGCGAAUCGCGCUUCUUGUUCUGAGUCGUUUCUCUCCGAAGAAGUCCUGCCACCUCAGCAGACAAGCAUUACAUCGCAAAACAUACUCACAGAGACAUAUCGAGCCGUCUGUUUAGAUAACCAUCCUCCUCCCUGCCCUCUUUCCUCUUUCCUCCCCCUCCCCUCGCCGGCACCCUCAUGGUCAAGCUCCUGACUUUUGGCGCCGCAGCUGCCCUCGGCGCUGCUUUUCACACCCACACGUCCUCCCAGCGCAUGGCGGCCGAGUGCGCUGCGAAGAAGGAGGUCUUCACGACCAAGUUCAAGCCCUUUGUACUGGGCGAGGUGCUCAACCUGGCUGAGGAUGUCGCUAUCUUCCGCUUUCUGCUGAACGACCCGAGCGACGUGUUCGACCUCGUGCCGUGCAGCACGCUGCAGGCACACUUCAAGGAGGGCGCGAACAUGGUGGAUCAGCCGAUGCGCUUCUACACCCCCAUCACGCCGAACGGAACGAAGGGCUACUUUGACCUUCUCGUCAAGAAGCAGCGGCCAGGCCGCUUCACCGAGCACCUCUUCUCCAUGGACGUGGGUGAGUCGCUGCUGUUCCGUGCCAUUCAGUACAAGCUAACGUACAAGAAGAAUCGCUGGACCGAUGUGGGCAUGAUCUGCGGCGGCACAGGCCUGUGCCCCAUUCUGCAGUUCAUGAACGCCUCUCUGGACACGGAGGGCGAUUCGACGAAGCUUCGCAUGCUCUUCGCCAACCGCUCAGAGAACAAGAUCCUGCUCAAGGGCCUGCUUGAUGAGAAGGCCCGCGAGCACAAGGAUCGACUGCAGAUCUUCUACACGGUGGACAACUUUGACGAUCCGAACAUGAUCGCGAAUCCAGUGUACAAGAAAGGCACUCCCUUGACGGUGGACGUCGCUAGCCAGCCGAGCACGAGCCCCGAUGGCAGAAAGUACUUCCACGGCUUCAAGGGCUACAUUGACGUGCCGAUGUUGCAGGCGACGAUGCCGAGGCCGUCGCCGUCGACGCUGCUUCUCGUCUGCGGGCCAGACCCGAUGAUGGUGAAGGUGGUCGGCGCAGCACCGAUGGUGCUGCGUGCCAUGUCCGGUGGCCUCGCGUACCAGCCCUCAGGUGCGGUGCUGAACAACGCCGCGGAUGUCUCCGGCUUCCUCGGCACCCUGGGCUACCAGAAGGAGAUGGUCUACCGCUUCUGAGGCACCUGCGUAGGUGAAGGCGAAGCUGUGGACACAAGAGCGCCGCCACGGCAACAAAGAGUUUCUUGACUAUCUUGGAAAGCCAAUCCAUGCUGCGGCGUCAACACAGACACACACACACACACACACACGCACACAAACACACACAAAGGCUGGAUGGGGCAGCUAUUGCCGUAAAGGGGCACUAGACGAGAUGCUAGAGACUUGUGGGCGAGCCCAGUGGGUGUGGGUGUGAGUGUGUGUCGCCGGAACGGCACGUGUGUAUUCGCAGAUCGUCUCUUGGGCCGGCGAAACCACUCGCUUGCCAGCGCUCCCCCACCUCCGACUAUUGCCCCACCCUCUCCAUCUCUUCUUAUCUCUAAACUUAUUCUUUCCGUUCUCUUUCUGCGCUUGCAACGAGCGCCUUGUCAG
rnacentral:misc_RNA from 1 species